GACGAACGCUGGCGGCGUGCUUAACACAUGCAAGUCGAACGGAAAGGCCCUGCUUUCGUGGGGUGCUCGAGUGGCGAACGGGUGUGUAACCUAUGAGUCACCUGCCUUUGACUUUGUGAUAACCUCAGGCAACCGGGGAUAAUACCGGCUAGGUGCUCCUGCUGCAUGGGGGGGGUUGGAAAGUUUCGGCGGUUGGGGAUGGACUCGCGGGUAAUUAGCUGGUGGGUGGGGUAGUGGCUAACCAAGGCUUUGACAGGUGGCCGGCAUGGGAGGGGGGUCAGCCACAUGAGGACUGAGAUACGGCCCAGACUGCUACGGUAGGCAGCAGGGGGGAAUAUUGCACAAUGGUCGGAAGCCUGAUGCAGCAACGCCGCGUGCGGAAUGACGGCCUUCGGGUUGUAAACCGCUUUCGCCUGUGACGAAGCGGGAUUGACGGUAAUGAGUAAAGAAGCACCGGCUAACUACGUG
rnacentral:rRNA from 1 species